GACGAACGCUGGCGGCGUGCCUAAUACAUGCAAGUCGAACGCACUCUCGUUUAGAUUGAAGGAGCUUGCUCCUGAUUGAUAAACAUUUGAGUGAGUGGCGGACGGGUGAGUAACACGUGGGUAACCUGCCCUAAAGUGGGGGAUAACAUUUGGAAACAGAUGCUAAUACCGCAUAAAACCUAAACACCGCAUGGUGUAGGGUUGAAAGAUGGUUUCGGCUAUCACUUUAGGAUGGACCCGCGGUGCAUUAGUUAGUUGGUGAGGUAAAGGCUCACCAAGACCGUGAUGCAUAGCCGACCUGAGAGGGUAAUCGGCCACACUGGGACUGAGACACGGCCCAGACUCCUACGGGAGGCAGCAGUAGGGAAUCUUCCACAAUGGACGAAAGUCUGAUGGAGCAACGCCGCGUGAGUGAAGAAGGUUUUCGGAUCGUAAAACUCUGUUGUUGGAGAAGAAUGUAUCUGAUAGCAACUGAUCAGGUAGUGACGGUAUCC
rnacentral:rRNA from 1 species